rnacentral:misc_RNA from 1 species
GCGGAAGUCAUCAUAAAGUAAGAUUUAUAUUUUAUAGAGUAAAAUAUAUUUUAUCUAGAGUAAAAUAUAUUUUAUCAUAAAGUUCUCUUGAUAACUGUUCUUAUCUAAAUAUUUCUUUAAUAUUAUUUGUUAUAUAUUCUAUGUAUAACAUAUCUUGGGUUCUUUGGUACAUGUAUAAAUUUUCUUGUAUUAAUUGUUUUAAUAAUCUUAUAUUUUUCAUAGUUUCUAUCCAAUAUUCUAGAUAGUCAAAGUUCAUUUUAAUCUAAAUCUAUUUCUAAAUCGUAUAUUAUCUAUUCUUUCUAUAUCUAAUUUUUGUGAAUCUAUUUCAUACCAUUCUUGAUUUAAUAUGUCUUCUAUAUCAUGAUCAAAUAUUUUUUCCCAUCUAAUUCUUUUUUUAGGUCAACAAUUUCUAUAUCUUUAAGUAUAUAUAAGAUCAAAGUUUUAUAACUUUUUAUUUCAUCAUACAUUGUAAUCAUGUUUAUUUAUUUAUGCAAGUUUGUUUUCAAUUAUUCCUUCCUAUCAUAUCAUAAUUCAAUUAAAUUCAUAUUAGUUUAUUAUAAACUAGAUUAUCGUUAUCAUGUUUUUCGGUCACUACUAGCAUCGUACUUUUGCGGAUAAUUACUGCUUAUCAGCGCUUCAACCUUGUGUAUUCCCCUAACGGCAUUCCUCGCCUACCGGUUUCCACUGUGGGAUGGCAUAGUCUAGCAGUUUUCUCCCUGUUUCCCGUUUACUAGCAAACUAGAAUUCAUGAUUCAAAUAUUUCUAGUAUAUAAUAACUACCACAAAUUUAAACAAUCAUAUAUAUGAUAAUCAGGAAUAUAUGAAAUUAGUUCUGCAUAAUUGUUAAACAAUAUACCUUUGUCUCUUGAUUUUUCAUGCUAUCUAAAAUAUCUGACUUGAUUUCGG